rnacentral:tRNA from 1 species
GCCGAGAUGGCACAAUCUGGUACUGCGCAAGAUUGCUAAUCUUGUUUCCUAACGGAUAUCUGGGUUCAAAUCCCAGUCUCGGCG